GACGAACUGUGCAAACGUUAUUCGGAAUCACUGGGCUUGAAGAGUGCGUAGGCGGUUUUGUAAGUAGGGUGUGAAAGCCCCCGGCUCAACCGGGGAAUUGCGCCUUAAACUGCAAGGCUGGAGUGAGGUAGGGGUGUGUGGAACUUCCAGUGGAGCGGUGAAAUGCGUAGAUAUCGAGAGGAACACCUGCGGCGAAGGCGGGGUGCUGGGCUGACACUGACGCUGAACUGCGAAAGCUAGGGGAGCGAACGGG
rnacentral:rRNA from 1 species